ACACCCCGACCCUUCACCCGCGAACUGGCCCAUCACCGCAAAUGGCCCGUCACCCGCGUUUGGCCCGAGACCCGCGAGCGAUCCAUUAACCCGCGCCUCGACCCGAGUCUCCUGCACACGCGUCGCUCUCUGAUUGUGCCACUUGGAACGUCUGUAGCGCGUCUCCUCUCGGCUUCGGCGGCGGCUCCUCAGCUCCGGCGGCUUAUUCGGCUCGGAAAACCUGUUUUCAACCCGUUUGACACCGUUCCGACCCUCCUGGACCUGGUUUCGGCCCUGUUUAAGGAACCAACCACCAACGAAAGCAUAGAACGUUCACGAGGAGCUAGGAGCUUACGUUAUAUUCUAGGGAGUACUUUGGCUAAGGCCUACCAAAUAAGGGCAAGGCACCCAUGUGACAACGACGGCGGCAUCGUACACCUCGGGACCGUGGCACAUGCAUAGG